UUACAAUUUGUCUCUUAGAUCUAUGUAGUGAUCUAAAUUGAGAAUGUUAAGUUAUUAAAAGUAUGUUUUACUGUUUUAUAGACAGCUUGGUGAUUAUUUCUGAUGAUGAGAUUCCCGAAACAACCACUCAGGACCUUUUGAAUCUGAGUUCCACACAAUUUGAGGGAAACGUGACUAACAGUGAUUAUGACGGAGAUAUUUCAGAUACGAGUGAUGCAAUAGAAGACCAAGAGGAAAUCAUCUCGGAAACCGACAUUCAACAAGACAUCGAACUACAACAGAUCUGCGCAGUGUGGCGUGAAUUCUUCGAAGCAAAGACUGAUUUAUUGGAAAACUUUGGACAGAUUGAUUAUACACUUGAAUCUGGUCGAGGUACAGAUUUUAUCCCAUUACUGUACAGCGUGAAAAUGUGAAUAGAUGUCUCUCAGUGAGCAUAAAGUUGAUUAGGAAAUUGUAUGAUAGAUAUGGCGCAGAAACGAC